GUCAAAACAUGACCUAUGAUUCGUUAUUGAAUUGAGAAGCAUUGAAACGGCGCAGUUCUGGUAUAGAAUGGAUGAAGAUGAUUCACCAGAGGACCUUGGGUAGCAAGACUUUUUUCCUUUUUUCUAGCAGUGUUGACAGCGAGGGGGCGUCCCUGGGAUUACCUGAGUUACACAGCUCUAGGAUUCACUCCCUUGCUCCUCGGAUCCAGUUUGGCGAUCAGAGGGAAGUGGAGCAAGUGAGGUUGCUCUGAUUUAAGAGUUAAGAGCCUGCUCCUUCCCCCCCCCCCCCUCCUCCUCCUCCCCGCGCGGCCUUCAUCCCCCUGCGGUGCCUAUCACCAGGAAUUCCUUUUAUAUGUAUCUGCAGCGGCCGCUGCUCUAGUUCUUGCUACCUUGCCUCCCCAACAUCCCUUCUCUUGUCCUCUAAUUGCAGUGAUGUUUCGUCUUCGAUAAACGUUGUGUAACAUCUUCCGUGCAACAUUACAGAAAUAUAUAUAUGCUUAGAUUUUUAUUUUAUGGCAUAAAAUUUUAUAAAAAGUUUUAGCACCGCCGACUUAUUGGUUUAGUAGAUAUUGUGGGCGGAGGAACAGCCGCCGCACGUGCAGGGAGAACAUCGCAGGAGAACAAACUCAAACAAAGAAAACCAGUUCAGUGCAGCGUUUGAGACAUAGGAGAUGCCGGACGCACCCUGCCAUGGUCAACACACAGAGCCGGUCGUUAGAAACAUGCUCUUGCUGCUGCGGUCAGCAGAUAAAGGGUUACUACGCACCAGGGAAUGACUAAGCAGAGCGGGAGCGUUUUCCGGUACGGAAAUAAUAGCAAUCUGGCUGAACAUUUGCAAUGCCUGGAGACUCGGCUGCCGUACCCUAUGGCCACGCAAAUCAUCAGAUUCUCGGUCUCAAGGUCACCUUAUAAAAACAUGCCGUGACUAUUGCUUGAGGAGAAACUCAAUCUCGAGGAUGAAGACAGACCUAAACCACAUAACAACUGCCAUCUCACUACAUACACAAGACCUGCAGUAUUCCAUAUCGCUCAUGUUGCGUUUUACAUUAUUGUGAAUUACUUUUACUCUAAACUGUAUAUUGCUAGCUAAUUUGCGUCUGAAAAAAAUAAAGAUGCUCUUCA